GCCUCCCUCCCGCCGCCACUCAGACUCCUACGGAGGGCAGCAGUAGGGAAUCUUGCGCAAUGGGCGAAAGCCUGACGCAGCCAUGCCGCGUGAAUGAUGAAGGUCUUAGGGAUUUGGUAAAAAUUUCUUUACAGCGGGGGACGAGUAAUGACGGUACCCGCAGAAGAAGCCCCGGCUAACCUUCGUGCCAGCCGCCGCGGUAAUUC
rnacentral:rRNA from 1 species